rnacentral:rRNA from 1 species
CCUACGGGAGGCUGCAGUGGGGAAUAUUGCACAAUGGGGGAAACCCUGAUGCAGCAACGCCGCGUGAGCGAAGAAGGCCUUCGGGUCGUAAAGCUCUGUCCUAAGGGAAGAAGCAUGACGGUACCUUAAGAGGAAGCCCCGGCUAACUACGUGCCAGCAGCCGCGGUAAUACGUAGGGGGCGGGGGUUAUCCGGAAUCACUGGGCGUAAAGGGUGCGUAGGCGGCCGAUUAAGCAAGGGGUGAAAGGCUACGGGUCAGCCGUGGUAAGCCCUUGGAACUGAUUGGCUUGGGUGGAGGAGAGGAUGAUGGAAUUCCUAGUGUAGCGGUGAAAUGCGUAGAUAUUAGGAGGAACACCAGUGGCGAAGGCGACUCUCUGGACUGUAACUGACGCUGAGGCACGAAAGCGUGGGGAGCAAACAGGAUUAGAUACCCGAGUAGUC